AGUUGUAUGUAUACUUCGUCAAAGGGCGGCAAGACUGUUUACGCAAUUUUUCUUUUUUGGCCAAGAUGGGAUAUCCUUAACCUUGGUGCGCCUGAGGUGAGCUCUCGUACACACAUCUCAAUAGUUGGCUACGAUGGAGACAUUGACUGGGUUGUAUCGCCACCUGGAAUUCAGUUGACUUUGCCAUCGAAAUCGGAAAUGUUAAGUGAUUGGGCUUGGGUGGUACAGUUAGAUAACUUGGUGAACUGAAAGGAUAAACGACCCGUGCACUAUUGCUUAAUGCGGAAAAUUGCUAUUCUUCAUUUUAAAAAUUAUAUCUAAUCAUCAGAAAAUGGUGAAUUGAAGACAAGUCAUAGACGUUAACUUUUCGCCGUCGUCCUUAAACAAUAUCAAAGUACAGUCCAAGCGUUCUUGAACAUUUCGAGAUCCUUGUCAAUGUGUUAUUUACUAUGUAGUACAUAUGGUGCUGAAUAGAAAAUCAGUCAGCAGGUGUU